UACCCCAUGGUAUGUAGAUGCUGCAUGGCAUUUAUAUUAAAGAUUUAUCGGUAGAAGAUGGGCAUGCGUAGGAUUAGCUAGUUGGCGGGGUAACGGCCCACCAAGGCGAUGAUCCUUAGGGGUUCUGAGAGGAAGGUCCCCCACACUGGCACUGAGAUACGGGCCAGACUCCUACGGGAGGCAGCAGUAGGGAAUAUUGGGCAAUGGGCGGAAGCCUGACCCAGCCAUGCCGCGUGCAGGAAGAAUGCCCUCUGGGUUGUAAACUGCUUUUAUCAGGGAAGAAAAGGCCCAUGCGUGGGACAUUGCCGGUACCUGAUGAAUAAGCACCGGCUAACUCCGUGCCAGCAGCCGCGGUAAUACGGAGGGUGCAAGCGUUGUCCGGAUUUAUUGGGUUUAAAGGGUGCGUAGGCUGCGGAUUAAGUCAGCGGUGAAAGUUUGGGGCUCAACCUUAAAAACGCCGAUGAUACUGGUUUGCUUGAGUGCCGGUAGGGUACAUGGAUUUAUGGUGUAGCGGUGAAAUGCAUAGAUACCAUAACACGAUGCGUACAUUGUACUUACCGGCACUGACGCUGAUGCACGAAAGCGUGGGGUAGCGAACAGGAUUAAAACCCGAGUCCACGUAAACGAUGAUUAUCUGUUGCUAUAUGUUGGAAGUUAAG
rnacentral:rRNA from 1 species